rnacentral:rRNA from 1 species
UUAAGUUAUUAAGGGCGCACGGUGGAUGCCUUGGCACUAGAAGCCGAUGAAGGACGUUACUAACGACGAUAUGCUUUGGGGAGCUGUAAGUAAGCUUUGAUCCAGAGAUUUCCGAAUGGGGAAACCCAGCAUGAGUUAUGUCAUGUUAUCGAUAUGUGAAUACAUAGCAUAUCAGAAGGCACACCCGGAGAACUGAAACAUCUUAGUACCCGGAGGAAGAGAAAGAAAAUUCGAUUCCCUUAGUAGCGGCGAGCGAAACGGGAAGAGCCCAAACCAAMAAGCUUGCUUGUUGGGGUUGUAGGACRCUCURUACGGAGUUACAAAGGACGACAUUAGACGAAUCAUCUGGAAAGAUGAAUCAAAGAAGGUAAUAAUCCUGUAGUCGAAAAUGUUGUCUCUCUUGAGUGGAUCCUGAGUACGACGGAGCACGUGAAAUUCCGUCGGAAUCUGGGAGGACCAUCUCCUAAGGCUAAAUACUCUCUAGUGACCGAUAGUGAACCAGUACCGUGAGGGAAAGGUGAAAAGCACCCCGGAAGGGGAGUGAAAUAGAACCUGAAACCGUGUGCUUACAAGUAGUCAGAGCCCGUUAAUGGGUGAUGGCGUGCCUUUUGUAGAAUGAACCGGCGAGUUACGAUUUGAUGCAAGGUUAAGCAGUAAAUGUGGAGCCGUAGCGAAAGCGAGUCUGAAUAGGGCGUUUAGUAUUUGGUCGUAGACCCGAAACCAGGUGAUCUACCCUUGGUCAGGUUGAAGUUCAGGUAACACUGAAUGGAGGACCGAACCGACUUACGUUGAAAAGUGAGCGGAUGAACUGAGGGUAGCGGAGAAAUUCCAAUCGAACCUGGAGAUAGCUGGUUCUCUCCGAAAUAGCUUUAGGGCUAGCCUCAAGUGAUGAUUAUUGGAGGUAGAGCACUGUUUGGACGAGGGGCCCCUCUCGGGUUACCGAAUUCAGACAAACUCCGAAUGCCAAUUAAUUUAACUUGGGAGUCAGAACAUGGGUGAUAAGGUCCGUGUUCGAAAGGGAAACAGCCCAGACCACCAGCUAAGGUCCCAAAAUAUAUGUUAAGUGGAAAAGGAUGUGGCGUUGCCCAGACAACUAGGAUGUUGGCUUAGAAGCAGCCAUCAUUUAAAGAGUGCGUAAUAGCUCACUAGUCGAGUGACACUGCGCCGAAAAUGUACCGGGGCUAAACAUAUUACCGAAGCUGUGGAUUGUCCUUUGGACAAUGGUAGGAGAGCGUUCUAAGGGCGUUGAAGCAUGAUCGUAAGGACAUGUGGAGCGCUUAGAAGUGAGAAUGCCGGUGUGAGUAGCGAAAGACGGGUGAGAAUCCCGUCCACCGAUUGACUAAGGUUUCCAGAGGAAGGCUCGUCCGCUCUGGGUUAGUCGGGUCCUAAGCUGAGGCCGACAGGCGUAGGCGAUGGAUAACAGGUUGAUAUUCCUGUACCACCUAUAAUCGUUUUAAUCGAUGGGGGGACGCAGUAGGAUAGGCGAAGCGUGCGAUUGGAUUGCACGUCUAAGCAGUAAGGCUGAGUAUUAGGCAAAUCCGGUACUCGUUAAGGCUGAGCUGUGAUGGGGAGAAGACAUUGWGUCUUCGAGUCGUUGAUUUCACACUGCCGAGAAAAGCCUCUAGAUAGAAAAUAGGUGCCCGUACCGCAAACCGACACAGGUAGUCAAGAUGAGAAUUCUAAGGUGAGCGAGCGAACUCUCGUUAAGGAACUCGGCAAAAUGACCCCGUAACUUCGGGAGAAGGGGUGCUCUUUAGGGUUAACGCCCAGAAGAGCCGCAGUGAAUAGGCCCAAGCGACUGUUUAUCAAAAACACAGGUCUCUGCUAAACCGUAAGGUGAUGUAUAGGGGCUGACGCCUGCCCGGUGCUGGAAGGUUAAGAGGAGUGGUUAGCUUCUGCGAAGCUACGAAUCGAAGCCCCAGUAAACGGCGGCCGUAACUAUAACGGUCCUAAGGUAGCGAAAUUCCUUGUCGGGUAAGUUCCGACCCGCACGAAAGGCGUAACGAUUUGGGCACUGUCUCAACGAGAGACUCGGUGAAAUCAUAGUACCUGUGAAGAUGCAGGUUACCCGCGACAGGACGGAAAGACCCCGUGGAGCUUUACUGUAGCCUGAUAUUGAAAUUCGGCACAGCUUGUACAGGAUAGGUAGGAGCCUUUGAAACGUGAGCGCUAGCUUACGUGGAGGCGCUGGUGGGAUACUACCCUAGCUGUGUUGGCUUUCUAACCCGCACCACUUAUCGUGGUGGGAGACAGUGUCARGCGGGCAGUUUGACUGGGGCGGUCGCCUCCUAAAAGGUAACGGAGGCGCUCAAAGGUUCCCUCAGAAUGGUUGGAAAUCAUUCAUAGAGUGUAAAGGCAUAAGGGAGCUUGACUGCGAGACCUACAAGUCGAGCAGGGUCGAAAGACGGACUUAGUGAUCCGGUGGUUCCGCAUGGAAGGGCCAUCGCUCAACGGAUAAAAGCUACCCCGGGGAUAACAGGCUUAUCUCCCCCAAGAGUUCACAUCGACGGGGAGGUUUGGCACCUCGAUGUCGGCUCAUCGCAUCCUGGGGCUGUAGUCGGUCCCAAGGGUUGGGCUGUUCGCCCAUUAAAGCGGUACGCGAGCUGGGUUCAGAACGUCGUGAGACAGUUCGGUCCCUAUCCGUCGUGGGCGUAGGAAAUUUGAGAGGAGCUGUCCUUAGUACGAGAGGACCGGGAUGGACAUACCUCUGGUGUACCAGUUGUCGUGCCAACGGCAUAGCUGGGUAGCUAUGUGUGGACGGGAUAAGUGCUGAAAGCAUCUAAGCAUGAAGCCCCCCUCAAGAUGAGAUUUCCCAACUUCGGUUAUAAGAUC